GACGAACGCUGGCGGCGUGCCUAAUACAUGCAAGUAGAACGCUGAAGAGAGGAGCUUGCUCUUCUUGGAUGAGUUGCGAACGGGUGAGUAACGCGUAGGUAACCUGCCUGGUAGCGGGGGAUAACUAUUGGAAACGAUAGCUAAUACCGCAUAAAAUUGAUUAUUGCAUGAUAAUUAAUUGAAAGAUGCAAUUGCAUCACUACCAGAUGGACCUGCGUUGUAUUAGCUAGUUGGUGAGGUAACGGCUCACCAAGGCGACGAUACAUAGCCGACCUGAGAGGGUGAUCGGCCACACUGGGACUGAGACACGGCCCAGACUCCUACGGGAGGCAGCAGUAGGGAAUCUUCGGCAAUGGGGGGAACCCUGACCGAGCAACGCCGCGUGAGUGAAGAAGGUUUUCGGAUCGUAAAGCUCUGUUGUAAGAGAAGAACGGGUGUGAGAGUGGAAAGUUCACACUGUGACGGUAUCUUACCAGAAAGGGACGGCUAACUACGUGCCAGCAGCCGCGGUAAUACGUAGGUCCCGAGCGUUGUCCGGAUUUAUUGGGCGUAAAGCGAGCGCAGGCGGUUAGAUAAGUCUGAAGUUAAAGGCUGUGGCUUAACCAUAGUAUGCUUUGGAAACUGUUUAACUUGAGUGCAGAAGGGGAGAGUGGAAUUCCAUGUGUAGCGGUGAAAUGCGUAGAUAUAUGGAGGAACACCGGUGGCGAAAGCGGCUCUCUGGUCUGUAACUGACGCUGAGGCUCGAAAGCGUGGGGAGCAAACAGGAUUAGAUACCCUGGUAGUCCACGCCGUAAACGAUGAGUGCCAGGUGUUAGGCCCUUUCCGGGGCUUAGUGCCGCAGCUAACGCAUUAAGCACUCCGCCUGGGGAGUACGACCGCAAGGUUGAAACUCAAAGGAAUUGACGGGGGCCCGCACAAGCGGUGGAGCAUGUGGUUUAAUUCGAAGCAACGCGAAGAACCUUACCAGGUCUUGACAUCCCUCUGACCGCUCUAGAGAUAGAGUUUUCCUUCGGGACAGAGGUGACAGGUGGUGCAUGGUUGUCGUCAGCUCGUGUCGUGAGAUGUUGUGUUAAGUCCCGCAACGAGCGCAACCCCUAUUGUUAGUUGCCAUCAUUCAGUUGGGCACUCUAGCGAGACUGCCGGUAAUAAACCGGAGGAAGGUGGGGAUGACGUCAAAUCAUCAUGCCCCUUAUGACCUGGGCUACACACGUGCUACAAUGGCUGGUACAACGAGUCGCAAGCCGGUGACGGCAAGCUAAUCUCUGAAAGCCAGUCUCAGUUCGGAUUGUGGGCUGCAACUCGCCUACAUGAAGUCGGAAUCGCUAGUAAUCGCGGAUCGGCACGCCGCGGUGAAUACGUUCCCGGGCCU
rnacentral:rRNA from 1 species